UACGUAGGGGGCGAGCGUUGUCCGGAUUUAUUGGGCGUAAAGAGCUCGUAGGCGGUUUGUCGCGUCUGGUGUGAAAAUCCAGGGCUUAACCCUGGACCUGCAUCGGGUACGGGCAGACUAGAGUGCGGUAGGGGAGAUCGGAAUUCCUGGUGUAGCGGUGAAAUGCGCAGAUAUCAGGAGGAACACCGGUGGCGAAGGCGGAUCUCUGGGCCGUAACUGACGCUGAGGAGCGAAAGCAUGGGGAGCGAACAGG
rnacentral:rRNA from 1 species